rnacentral:rRNA from 1 species
CCUACGGGCGACAGCAGUGAGGAAUAUUGGUCAAUGGACGAGAGUCUGAACCAGCCAAGUAGCGUGAAGGAUGACUGCCCUAUGGGUUGUAAACUUCUUUUAUAUGGGAAUAAAACGUUCCACGUGUGGGAUUUUGUAUGUACCAUAUGAAUAAGGAUCGGCUAACUCCGUGCCAGCAGCCGCGGUAAUACGGAGGAUCCGAGCGUUAUCCGGAUUUAUUGGGUUUAAAGGGAGCGUAGGUGGAUUGUUAAGUCAGUUGUGAAAGUUUGCGGCUCAACCGUAAAAUUGCAGUUGAAACUGGCAGUCUUGAGUACAGUAGAGGUGGGCGGAAUUCGUAGUGUAGCGGUGAAAUGCUUAGAUAUCACGAAGAACUCCGAUUGCGAAGGCAGUUCACUGGACUGCAACUGACACUGAGGCUCGAAAGUGUGGGUAUCAAACAGGAUUAGAUACCCCUGUAGUC